GCCGCAGGACCCCCCCGUAGAGCUGCCGCCUGAGCUGCGCUACAUGGAGCUCCUGAGCUGCGCGGAGUCUGUCUACGAGCAGAUCCAGCGCUGACGUCACGGCCUGGGGAACCCCACAAGAGAUCUGCCCCCCCAGGAGAUGCCCCCAGAGCCCCUGGACACUCGGGAUUAAAGAGCUCCUCCCUGCACCCUG